rnacentral:rRNA from 1 species
UACGAAGGGGGCUAGCGUUGCUCGGGGUCACUGGGCGUAAAGCGCACGUAGGCGGAUUGUUAAGUCAGGGGUGAAAUCCUGGAGCUCAACUCCAGAACUGCCUUUGAUACUGGCGAUCUUGAGUCCGGGAGAGGUGAGUGGAACUGCGAGUGUAGAGGUGAAAUUCGUAGAUAUUCGCAAGAACACCAGUGGCGAAGGCGGCUCACUGGCCCGGUACUGACGCUGAGGUGCGAAAGCGUGGGGAGCAAACAGG